rnacentral:rRNA from 1 species
GUGAGGAAUAUUGGUCAAUGGGCGAGAGCCUGAACCAGCCAAAUCGCGUGCAGGAAGACGGCCCUAUGGGUUGUAAACUUCUUUUCAAGGGGAAGAAAGUUCGCGACGUGUCGCGAUUUGCCGGUACCUUUGGAAUAAGCAUCGGCUAACUCCGUGCCAGCAGUCGCGGUAAUACGGAGGAUGCGAGCGUUAUCCGGAUUUAUUGGGUUUAAAGGGUGCGUAGGCCGAUCGAUAAGUCAGCGGCGAAAUACCAUGGCCCAACCAUGGAACUGCCGUUGAUACUGUCGGUCUUGAAUAUGGUCAAGGUAGGCGGAAUGUGUAAUGUAGCGGUGAAAUGCUUAGAUAUUACACAGAACACCGAUUGCGAAGGCAGCUUACUGGUCCAUUAUUGACGCUGAGGCACGAAAGCGUGGGGAUCGAACAGGAUUAAAAACCCUGGUAGUCC